AUUGAACGCUGGCGGCAUGCUUUACACAUGCAAGUCGAACGGUAACAGGUUAAGCUGACGAGUGGCGAACGGGUGAGUAAUGCAUCGGAACGUGCCCGGUCGUGGGGGAUAACACUUCGAAAGAAGUGCUAAUACCGCAUACAAUCUGAGGAUGAAAGCGGGGGACCGUAAGGCCUCGCGCGAUCGGAGCGGCCGAUGUCAGAUUAGGUAGUUGGUGGGGUAAAGGCUCACCAAGCCGACGAUCUGUAGCUGAUCUGAGAGGACGACCAGCCACACGGGGACUGAGACACGGCCCAGACUCCUACGGGAGGCAGAAGUGGGGAAUUUUGGACAAUGGGCGCAAGCCUGAUUCAGCAAUGCCGCGUGCAGGAAGAAGGCCUUCGGGUUGUAAACUGCUUUUGUACGGAGCGAAAAGGCUCUCUCUAAUACAGGGGGCUCAUGACGGUACCGUAAGAAUAAGCACCGGCUAACUACGUGCCAGCAGCCGCCGUAA
rnacentral:rRNA from 1 species